CCAGGCCAGUAGCACAGCCCCAGGACCCUCAGCCAGAGGAGGAGGGUCUGGAAGAAGUGGACCUGAGCAAUCUAGACAUCCGGCUUGGCAGUGGCACUGAGCAGCCCUCGAGUCCUGUCUGGUGGUGACAGUGAUGAAGGAGGAGCAGGUGUCAAUUUCAGAAAAAAAUAUGUCUCUCUAUCCAGUGUCUGAGUAGGAAGGUCCCUCCCUGAGAGCAGAGAGAUGCUUCUUGUUUCCCCAGGUCCAAUCCCAUGGAAGGAGGAGCUCUUCCUUUGGCUUGUAAUUGUCUGGGAUUAUCCCCUGCCCCCUCUUCCCCAGGACUAAAUGUGAAGAAGGGUGACCUGUGUGCAACUAGAGAUGUUCAGUUAUUUCUGGUCUGUCCUUCCACAUCACUGGGUGUGUGUCAUUGGACACCACAUUGUUCUCCAUGUGCAUACUCCAUCAUCCCUUUCUUCAGAGGACCAGAGCAUCCCAGGUAGGCAGGGUCUCUCUCAUGGGGUCAGAGUGUGGAGAGACCUGGGGGCUGUAGUUCCUUUUCAGUUCUGACCAUUUCAGGCACUGGAUAGGCUGGAGCAGAAUAGAGAAGGGGGCUCCAAGGAGCAGUAGCCCGAAGACAAUUUUGUGUGUCUGUCCUCCCCGUCCCAGUGGUGCCCUAAGUUACAAGUGUUCUCGCUCUCUCACGCUCUCUCUCUCGCUCACGCUCUCUCUCUCUCUCUCUCUCUCUCUCUCUCUCUCUCUCGUUUCAGUUCUUAAUGACAUUGUGUAGAUGAGAGAAUGGCCAGCCUGUGGCAGAGAUCAAGAGAAGCAGCAGCCACCUUGAGCCUCUCCCAGAGGAUAGAAGCCAGACAGUGAGCUAUGGAGUAAGAGCAAAUGGAAAUUUGCUUUCCAGGAAGCUACUGUACUUCAGGAAGACUCCCAUCACCGCUCACAACUCCUUGAGAGGGCUGAAAGGGCUUCCUAUUUGGUUGAAGCAGAGGCUGUGGAUGGGGAAGGUCUUUUGUGAGUCAGACAGGCUGGGUACUGCAUCUGGUGCCCCAAGAACACAGAGCUGGGGCUGCUAACAGGGAGUUUCGCAAGGGAGUUCUCCAGGUGAAGGAGGAGCAAAUACAGC